rnacentral:rRNA from 1 species
UACAGAGGGUGCGAGCGUUGUCCGGAAUCACUGGGCGUAAAGGGCGCGUAGGCGGCGCGGUAAGCGUGCGGUGAAAGCUCGGGGCUCAACUCCGAGUCGGCCGUGCGAACUGCCGGGCUGGAGCACACUAGAGGCGGAUGGAAUUCCGGGUGUAGCGGUGGAAUGCGUAGAGAUCCGGAAGAACACCGGUGGCGAAGGCGGUCCGCUGGGGUGUUGCUGACGCUGAGGCGCGACAGCGUGGGGAG